rnacentral:rRNA from 1 species
GACGAACGCUGGCGGCGUGCUCAACACAUGCAAGUCGAACGGAAAGGCCCUGCUUUUGUGGGGUGCUCGAGUGGCGAACGGGUGAGUAACACGUGAGUAACCUGCCCUUGACUUUGGGAUAACUUCAGGAAACUGGGGCUAAUACCGGAUAGGAGCUCCUGCUGCAUGGUGGGGGUUGGAAAGUUUCGGCGGUUGGGGAUGGACUCGCGGCUUAUCAGCUUGUUGGUGGGGUAGUGGCUUACCAAGGCUUUGACGGGUAGCCGGCCUGAGAGGGUGACCGGCCACAUUGGGACUGAGAUACGGCCCAGACUCCUACGGGAGGCAGCAGUGGGGAAUACUGCACAAUGGGCGGAAGCCUGAUGCAGCAACGCCGCGUGCGGGAUGGCGGCCUUCGGGUUGUAAACCGCUUUCGCCUGUGACGAAGCGUGAGUGACGGUAAUGGGUAAAGAAGCACCGGCUAACUACGUG